UUCGGGACGCCGGCGAGUGGCGAACGGGUGAGUAACACGUGGAGACCUGCCCUGGGGUGGGGGAUAACAGCUAGAAAUGGCUGCUAAUACCGCAUACGCCUUACGAGGGAAAGAUUUAUUGCCCCAGGAGGGUUCCGCGUCGGAUUAGCUUGUUGGUGGGGUAACGGCCUACCAAGGCGACGAUCCGUAGCUGGUCUUAGAGGAUGAUCAGCCACACUGGGACUGAGACACGGCCCAGACUCCUACGGGAGGCAGCAGUGGGGAAUAUUGCGCAAUGGGGGAAACCCUGACGCAGCGAUGCCGCGUGGGUGAAUAAGGCCUUAGGGUUGUAAAGCCCUUUCAGUGGGAACGAUGAUGACGGUACCCACAGAAGAAGCCCCGGCUAACUCCGUGCCAGCAGCCGCGGUAAUACGGAGGGGGCGAGCGUUGU
rnacentral:rRNA from 1 species